CAAAAAUGAAUUGCCAAGUCACUAAUACCAAACCCCUAACAAGCAAUUCAAACUGAAGGUGCGAGAUGAAAACUUCAUUCCAGAACGAGAUCUUCAUCUCUCAAAAAUCCAAUUCAAUCCCUACCCCCAACUUCGAUACCAAACACAACUUACCCAUCUCAAAAGUGAAAUCACGAUCUAGAAUCUCAUCCUCCCAAAAAAGAUCGAACAAUUGCACUGUUAAAGGUGAACCCUAACCGAACGUCCGUCGCCGUUGAAAGUCCACAACCCAACCACGAAAUUGGGUUUUUCAAGAAGUGCACAUGGAGGGAGAGAAUCGACGUAAAUCCUAAAAUUUAUUUAUGGUUUCUUCAUUUUCAUCUUUACCACACAUGGAAUGUAAAUAUUUAAAAAAAAAGAAAAGAAAAAAAGGGAUACCUGAUUGCACGAUCUUGGUGGUUUCUUUUUCCCAUUUUUUUUUUUCCUGUGUACUGCUUGAAUUUUAAUGUAGUUGUCUGUUAAAUAAUAUAUAUUCCUUUGCUAGUUUUCUAUGGUUCAUAUUAUUAUUGUAUACCAUUUAGUAUAAUUGCAUCGUAGUUAUGGGGAAACCUCAUUAUCAACAAUGUGCUAACUUAAUUUUCUUGCGCUUGGUUUAUUUGAUAUGGGUAUUAUCCAUAAAUAUUAGUUUAGUAAAACAAAUAAAGCAAAGUACAUACGAAAGUGUUG
rnacentral:lncRNA from 1 species